AGUAACAGCAGAUGGAUUUGUUUGACAGCAAAUGGUUACAGUUAUGGAUCUACUUCCUCAAGGAGAGCACAGAUGGUUUUCAGGAACUACACCAAGAUCUUCUAUAGGUGACACGAGCGCUCUGCUGUUUAUAUAUAAAUGUUUCGUUGGCCAAUAAAAAGCCAACGCUCCCCUGGGCCAAACCUUGG